rnacentral:rRNA from 1 species
GGAAUUUGGCAAUGGCGAAAGCCUGACACAGCGACGCCGCGUGAGGGAUGAAGGCUUCGGGUWGUAAACCCCUUUUCUCAGGGAAGAAUAAUGACGGUACCUGMGGAAUAAGCCCCGGCUAACUACGUGCCAGCAGCCGCGGUAAUACGUAGGAGGCGAGCGUUAUCCGGAUUUAUUGGGCGUAAAGAGGGCGUAGGCGGCUUUUCAAGUCGGAUGUGAAAUCUCCCGGCUUAACUGGGAGGGACCAUUCGAUACUGUUGGGCUAGAGGGCAGCAGAGGGAGGUGGAAUUCCCGGUGUAGUGGUGAAAUGCGUAGAUAUCGGGAGGAACACCAGUGGCGAAGGCGGCCUCCUGGGCUGUUACUGACGCUGAGGCCCGAAAGCGUGGGGAGCAAACAGGAUUAGAUACCCUGGUAGUCCACGCUUAAAANAUGGAUACUAGGUANAGGGAGUAUCGANCCUYCUCGGUGCSGGRGCUAACGCAUUAAGUGUCCCGCCUGGGGAA